CAUUUUACGGUUCAAAUAUUGAACAAUAUACUACACUCUGAUGUUUGCGGCACAAUAUUAAAUCAAAUUCAUACCAAAUAUACUACACUUUCCAUUUCAUAUACUACGAUUGACGACAAAUAUAACUACGAAAGUGUAAAAGUGCCAUUUUAUAUGGACCAAAACCAUGCAAAUACAUACGAUUUGCCGAUUAC
rfam:Buzura suppressaria nucleopolyhedrovirus isolate Hubei, complete genome.